UAAACAACAACAAAACCACCAAACAUAUUGAUAGGAACCUAAAUCAAACUAUAAAUUAUCUAACUACACUAAAUUAUCAAAAAAAUGUGCAAUGCACGUGCACAACUAUGUUUCAGAAUUGGUGUUGGUGUUGGAUAAUUCAUCUUCAAAGUUAAGGGAUCGUCAAAUUGGGAAAAAAAAUGGACGUUCAGAGAUGGUUUUCCAGAAUUGGCGUUUGUAGAGGAGAGGGCCUGGAAUAUGUGUAGUUUUAACUAUUGGAGCCCAGGCUAUUUUACUGCCAGUCUAAAUAAGGCUGUGGAGGAUGCUGUUGGUGGGCUGGGAUGUGUCUCUUGUUGAUGAAAUGUAUUGAUUAGAUGUUGCUGUUGUACUCCUGGAAAGGGGUUUUGUUAGUAAGGUUUGGGAACAAAGCUGAUUAUGGAAAAGGCACGAUUAUGUCUACGUUUCAUCAUGUUGCAUAAGGUAUACAAUGCUGUAUAUUUGGAAAUCAGCACAAAGAAUAUUAUUCAAACUUCGUUUAGAUGGAAUGGAGAACCCCAGUUACAAUAGCUGGUUACUGGAUUGCAGUACACAACUUCCCCAUGUUGUAGGAACUGCAUAUGCUAUGAAAAUGGAUGGAUGAGAUGCAUACACAAUCACCUUUUUUGGGGAAGCUGGCACCAGUGAGAUAAGUAUGUAAUUAUGUAAGAUAACUCCUUUUCUGUUUUGUUUGGUUUUUAAUCAUUUUAUCAUUAGAUCAAUAGGAGUGUCAGAAUUUCCAUUUAGAUAUCCCGUAGUUCUUACAAAAAUCGGGCUUUCAUUUGUUAAGCUUAGCAUACUACCUAGCCGUCUCUUUAUAUGACUUGGUCUAAAGAGACUUCGUUCGAUUUGCAAUUAUCUUGGUAUCGACCCUCAAGUUGAAUAGUUGUGUGUGUGUGAUUCGACAUCUAUCAUCUUAAGUCAGUAAGGUCGAAGACUCAAAGGUACUGGCUGAUGCCAUGUGUCUACCUCUGUGAGUGCAUGAUAUUGCAGAAUUCAAGUAUAGUCAUGGGCCUCGUGGUUUUGAAUUCCUAGUCAGGCUUUUCUACACUACAUAAAGUUAAGAAAAAUCUCCAUUUGCAAUCGUUUCAUUCAAAUGAACAGUUUUUUGCCAUUAAAUGAAGUGAUUUUGUGGUGGUUAUUGAGGCCCCGAUUAUUUUCACCUGCCGAAAUAACAGUGGGCCAUCAGCACCCGUCUCAGAUCAAUUCGAAAGUAUUUUCCCUCUUCACUUUCACUCUUGACUUUCCCUUUUCCAGAUUCUCAUUUUCAGGAUACAUUGAAAAUUGCUAUGGUAUUGCUGUUAGAUGACAGGCAUAUGGAGUUCGUACUAUUCGUGUAAAUGGUAAUGACGCUCUUGCCAUGUUUAGUGCAAUUGAAGCAGCACGUAGAAUAGCUGUAAAUGAGCAUAGCUCUAUCUUGCUUCAGACCAGGAAAUCACUCCACUUUAGGUGAUUCCACCAAAUAUCUUUCAGAUGAAGAGAUCGACCGGUGGAGAGAGCAAGACCCUGUGUCCAGAUCUGAUUUUGUAAGUGAAUUGAAACUAAUGGUUUGUGGAGUGAUGAGGCGAAGUCCAAGCAUCGAACCUCUAUCAAGAACCAGGUAACACUUCCUCCACUUUGAACAAACUCAAUAGAUGAUUGAUUUCUAAGUUUAAGACAGACUAUCAUAUGUAGGCUAACCAUUGGUAUUGGGAGUGAUACGAAAUAUGGGGUAAAAGUUACCAGUUACUCAUAGAAACGGUACGUAUUGGCCGGUACGGAACGGUAUCACCAACCUUGAUACAAAUAGAUGGUCUAAGUUUGGCUAGCUCAUUAGGUCAACACGGACUCCUUAUGCAUGAUGUUUUUUUUUUUUUUUUGUCUGGAGACUAGAAUUUAUAAGAAAUCUAUACUUUGAUUGUUAAUUUUAGAGAGCCCACAUGAGUAAGGACCGAGUGUUUCCCUGUGAUGCUAUAAUGCCACCACGUAGAGUCACUUUCUUUAAAAAAAAUUGUACCUUUUAAAAUGAUUUGAGCUUCAAUAUGUUUAUUGAAAAUGAUGUACGUGUACAUUAUAUGUGACAUUUGAAUUUGUUAUAAAUACAGGCAAUUGAGAAUUUGAAAAGACUGAUAUCCUUCUCAAAGUUAAGGGGGAGACGAAGAGGAGAAGUUCAAAGUCCAACUACACAAGAACAACGAAGGUAUCUUCCAUUUGAAUCAGAUGGAGCCAGAUAAUUCUUGGACUCAUUCAAAAGUCAGAAUCAUGCAGCCGCUUGACAAACUAAUAAUAUUUGGUGUUAUUUCCCCUGCUCUUUUUGGUCGUUAGAAGGGUCUUUGUAUUCUUUUUUAUGCUUUUAAUAAUUGAGGGGUCCAACAGGAUGGCCAUGUUUAUAUACCACUUGGAUCCUUGUGUCCGUUUGAAAAUGUUGGAACUGCUUUUCCACUCUUGUCUUUGAA